UGGGGAAUAUUGCACAAUGGAGGGAACUCUGAUGCAGCGACGCCGCGUGAACGAAGAAGGCUUUCGAGUCGUAAAGUUCUUUUAUAUGGGAAGAUAAUGACGGUACCAUAAGAAAAAGCCCCGGCUAACUACGUGCCAGCAGCCGCGGUAAUACGUAGGGGGCUAGCGUUGUCCGGAAUCACUGGGCGUAAAGGGUUCGCAGGCGGAAAUGCAAGUCAGGUGUAAAAGGCAGUAGCUUAACUACUGUAAGCAUUUGAAACUGCAUAUCUGGAGAAGAGUAGAGGUAAGUGGAAUUUUUGGUGUAGCGGUGAAAUGCGUAGAUAUUAAAAAGAAUACCGGUGGCGAAGGCGACUUACUGGGCUCAUUCUGACGCUGAGGAACGAAAGCGUGGGUAGCAAACAGG
rnacentral:rRNA from 1 species